UACGAAGGGUGCAAGCGUUACUCGGAAUUACUGGGCGUAAAGCGUGCGUAGGCGGCCUGUUGCGUCCGCUGUGAAAGCCCGGGGCUUAACCCCGGGUCUGCAGUGGAUACGGGCAGGCUAGAGGUAGGUAGGGGAGAAUGGAAUUCCCGGAUGUAGCGGUGAAUGACGCAGAUAUCAGGAGGAACACCGGUGGCGAAGGCGGUCUCUGGGCCUUACCUGAUGCUGAGGAGCGAAAGCGUGGGGAGCGAACAGG
rnacentral:rRNA from 1 species